GCGGUCGUGGCCGAGUGGUUAACGCGUCUGACUAGAGAUCAGGUGCACUUUGGGGAUGUAGGUUCGAGUCCUACCUACCGCG